rnacentral:tRNA from 1 species
GGGCCCAUAGGCUCAAUGGUUAGAGCCGACCGCUCAUAACGGUCUGGUUCCAGGUUCGAGUCCUGGUGGGCCCACCA